UAGAAGCAGCUGAAAUGCUGGUGCUAUGCC
rnacentral:piRNA from 1 species